rnacentral:rRNA from 1 species
AUACGUAGGGGGCUAGCGUUAUCCGGAAUUACUGGGCGUAAAGGGUGCGUAGGUGGUUUCUUAAGUCAGAAGUGAAAGGCUACGGCUCAACCGUAGUAAGCUUUUGAAACUAAGAGACUUGAGUGCAGGAGAGGAGAGUAGAAUUCCUAGUGUAGCGGUGAAAUGCGUAGAUAUUAGGAGGAAUACCAGUUGCGAAGGCGGUUCCCUGGACUUUAACUGACACUUAGGCACGAAAGCGUGGGGAGCAAACAGGAUUAGAUACCCUGGUAGUCCACGCCGUAAACGAUGAGUACUAGCUGUCGGGGGUUACCCCCCUCGGUGGCGCAGCUAACGCAUUAAGUACUCCGCCUGGGAAGUACGCUCGCAAGAGUGAAACUCAAAUGAAUUGACGGGG